AGAACGAACGCUGGCGGCAGGCUUAACACAUGCAAGUCGAACGCGUGUAGCAAUACACGAGUGGCGCACGGGUGAGUAACGCGUGGAUAUCUGCCUUUUGGUUCGGAAUAACCCCGGGAAACUGGGGCUAAUACCGGAUGGUUCCUACGGGAUAAAGAUUUAUCGCCAAAAGAUGAGUCCGCGUCCGAUUAGCUAGUUGGUGGGGUAAUGGCCUACCAAGGCGACGAUCGGUAGCUGGUCUGAGAGGACGAUCAGCCACACUGGGACUGAGACACGGCCCAGACUCCUACGGGAGGCAGCAGUGGGGAAUAUGGACAAUGGGGGCAACCCUGAUCCAGCCAUGCCGCGUGAGUGAUGAAGGCCUUCGGGUUGUAAAGCUCUUUUGGCGGGGACGAUGAUGACGGUACCCGCAGAAUAAGCCCGGCUAACUUCGUGCCAGCAGCCGC
rnacentral:rRNA from 1 species